rnacentral:rRNA from 1 species
CCCUUCAGUGCUGCAGCUAACGCAUUAAGCACUCCGCCUGGGGAGUACGACCGCAAGGUUGAAACUCAAAGGAAUUGACGGGGGCCCGCACAAGCGGUGGAGCAUGUGGUUUAAUUUGAAGCAACGCGAAGAACCUUACCAGGUCUUGACAUCCUUUGACCACUCUAGAGAUAGAGCUUCCCCUUCGGGGGCAAAGUGACAGGUGGUGCAUGGUUGUCGUCAGCUCGUGUCGUGAGAUGUUGGGUUAAGUCCCGCAACGAGCGCAACCCUUAUUGUUAGUUGCCAUCAUUUAGUUGGGCACUCUAGCAAGACUGCCGGUGACAAACCGGAGGAAGGUGGGGAUGACGUCAAAUCAUCAUGCCCCUUAUGACCUGGGCUACACACGUGCUACAAUGGGAAGUACAACGAGUCGCAAAGUCGCGAGGCUAAGCUAAUCUCUUAAAGCUUCUCUCAGUUCGGAUUGUAGGCUGCAACUCGCCUACAUGAAGCCGGAAUCGCUAGUAAUCGCGGAUCAGCACGCCGCGGUGAAUACGUUCCCGGGCCUUGUACACACCGCCCGUCACACCACGAGAGUUUGUAACACCCGAAGUCGGUGAGGUA